rnacentral:rRNA from 1 species
ACUCCUACGGGAGGCAGCAGUGGGGAAUUUUGCACAAUGGGCGAAAGCCUGAUGCAGCGACGCCGCGUGGAGGAUGAAGGCCUUCGGGUUGUAAACUUCUUUUGCAGGGGAAAAUAAUGAUGGUACCCUGCGAAUAAGCCACGGCUAACUCUGUGCCAGCAGCCGCGGUAAGACAGAGGUGGCGAGCGUUGUUCGGAAUUACUGGGCUUAAAGGGCGCGUAGGCGGUGGUGUAAGUCUGGUGUGGAAUUCCACGGCUUAACCGUGGGACUGCACUGGAAACUGGAUCACUUGAGUCGGACAGGGGAAGGCGGAAUUCCAGGUGUAGCGGUGAAAUGCGUAGAUAUCUGGAGGAAGGCCUGUGGUGAGGACGGCCUUCUGGGUCUUGACUGACGCUGAGGCGCGAAAGCGUGGGUAGCAAACAGGAUUAGAUACCCUGGUAGUCCACGCCCUAAACGGUGGGUACUAGGUGUGGGAUCUGUAAGGGUUCCGUGCCGAAGGGAAACCAUUAAGUACCCCGCCUGGGAAGUACGGCCGCAAGGUUGAAACUCAAAUGAAUUGACGG